rnacentral:rRNA from 1 species
GGUUGCGAUCAUACCAGCACUAAUGCACCGGAUCCCAUCAGAACUCCGUAGUUAAGCGUGCUUGGGCGAGAGUAGUACUAGGAUGGGUGACCCCAUGGGAAGUCCUCGUGUUGCAACCC